AGAGAAGAUGGUAAGGGCAAACGGUGGAUGCCUUGGCACAGGAAGCCGACGAAGGACGUGACAAGCUGCGAUAAGCCGCGGUUAGGGGCACUUGCCCGCUCGACCCGCGGAUCUCCGAAUGGGCGAACCCGACGGGAGUCAUUUCCCGUCACCGCCGGCCGAACACAUAGGCCGGUGGGAGGCAACCGGGGGAACUGAAACAUCUAAGUACCCCGAGGAAGAGAAAUCAAUCGAGAUUCCCCUAGUAGUGGCGAGCGAACGGGGACCUAGGACAAACCGGCGGCCGCGCAAGCGCCGCCGGGGUUGUAGGGCCAAGCACUGCGCAGUUACAAAACCUCGUGGAAGCGGAACGGCAUGGGAAGGCCGGCGGGACAGGGUUAGAGCCCCGUACGCGAAUCCGCGAGGACUGCCGCUUGGUUCCUGAGUACCGCCGGACACGUGAAACCCGGUGGGAAGCUGGGGGGUCCACCCUCCAAUCCUAAAUACUCUCCUGUGACCGAUAGUGGACCAGUACCGUGAGGGAAAGGUGAAAAGCACCCCGGGAGGGGAGUGAAAUAGUACCUGAAACCGUUUGCCUACAAGCAGUCGGAGCGGCGCUUGCGCCGUGACGGCGUGCCUUUUGUAGAAUGAGCCAGCGAGUUACGGCGCGUGGCGAGGUUAAGCCACGAAGCGAGCCGCAGCGAAAGCGAGUCCGAAACGGGCGAGCAGUCGCGCGCCGUAGACGCGAAGCCGGGUGAGCUAUCCAUGGGCAGGCUGAAGCGGGGGUAAGACCCCGUGGAGGGCCGAACCCACCUAGGUUGAAAACUGGGGGGAUGACCUGUGGAUAGGAGUGAAAGGCCUAUCAAACCCGGAGAUAUCUCGUUCUCCCCGAAAUAGCUUUAGGGCUAGCCUCGGACGUUUACCUGCGGGGGUAGAGCACUGAAUGGACGCGGGGGCCUCACCGCCUACCAACUCCAAUCAAACUCCGAAUACCGCCGGUCCAGAGUCCGGGAGUCAGAACAUGUGGGCUAAGCUGUGUGUUCGAAAGGGAAACAGCCCAGACCGCCCGCUAAGGUCCCGAAGUCCGUGCUAAGUGGCAAAGGAUGUGCGUUUGCCUAGACAACCAGGAUGUUGGCUUAGAAGCAGCCAUUCAUUUAAAGAGUGCGUAAUAGCUCACUGGUCGAGUGGACAUGCGCCGACAAUAUACGGGGCUAAGCACGGCACCGAAGCGGCGGACUAGAUUCGUCUAGUGGUAGGGGAGCUUUCCGUCUGGGGCGAAGCCGCGGGACGACCCGCGGUGGACCGGCCGGAAGUGAGAAUGCUGGCAUGAGUAACGAGAGCGGCGUGGGAAACGCCGCCGCCGUAAACCCAAGGUUUCCUGGGCGAGGCUAAUCCUCCCAGGGUCAGUCGGGAGCUAAGGCGAGGCCGGAAGGCGUAGCCGAUGCACAGCAGGUCGACAUUCCUGCACCCCCGAACGGGCGUCAUCACCGAUGGGGCGACGGAGAAGGGUAGCUGGACGGGGUUCUGGACGUCCCCGCGAUGGCACGUAGGCCGCAGGGUAGUGAAACGCGCCCUGCGCGAAGGCUGAGGUGCCGGACGAAGCGAAUGAGCGAAGCCAGUGAGCCCAUGCUUCCAAGAAAACCCCCUAGGGAGCCCGCAGGGGCCCGUACCGCAAACCGACACAGGUGGGUGGGUAGAGCAUACCAAGGCGAUCGGGAGAACCAUGGUUAAGGAACUCGGCAAAAUUGCCCCGUAACUUCGGGAGAAGGGGUGCCGCCUCGGGUGGAGGGACUUGCUCCCCGAGCCCAGGGCGGCCACAGUAAAUAGGCCCAAGCGACUGUUUAUCAAAAACACAGGACUCUGCUGAAGUCGUAAGACGACG
rnacentral:rRNA from 1 species